rnacentral:rRNA from 1 species
UAACCGUGCCUCAUACACAUGGAUAACAUACCGAAAGGUAUGCUAAUACAAGAUGAUAUAAGAGAUUCGCAUGGAUUUCUUAUCAAAGCUCCGGCGGUAUGAGAUGGACCCGCGUCUGAUUAGCUAGUUGGUAAGGUAAUGGCUUACCAAGGCAACGAUCAGUAGCCGACCUGAGAGGGUGAUCGGCCACAUUGGAACUGAGACACGGUCCAA